UCAGGACGAACGCUGGCGGCGUGCCUAAUACAUGCAAGUCGAGCGGAGCACUUCGGUGCUUAGCGGCGGACGGGUGAGUAACACGUAGGYAACCUGCCUAUAAGACUGGGAUAACUAUCGGAAACGAUAGCUAAGACCGGAUAACUGGUUUUCUCGCAUGAGAGAAUCAUGAAACACGGAGYAAUCUGUGGCUUAUAGAUGGGCCUGCGGCGCAUUAGCUAGUUGGUAGGGUAACGGCCUACCAAGGCGACGAUGCGUAGCCGACCUGAGAGGGUGAACGGCCACACUGGGACUGAGACACGGCCCAGACUCCUACGGGAGGCAGCAGUAGGGAAUCUUCCGCAAUGGACGCAAGUCUGACGGAGCAACGCCGCGUGAGUGAUGAAGGUUUUCGGAUCGUAAAGCUCUGUUGCCCUAGACG
rnacentral:rRNA from 1 species